rnacentral:tRNA from 1 species
GAGAGAGGUCUGACGACAACUGAAGACUGCUAACCUUUAUUUCUGGGGUUAAACCCCCCGGCUCCCUCG